rnacentral:tRNA from 1 species
AAGUUUUGUAGUUUACAGAAAACUUUAAGUUGCAAACUUAAGAAUACCCAGAAGGUCAAAACUUA